UACGUAGGGCGCGAGCGUUAUCCGGAAUUAUUGGGCGUAAAGAGCUCGUAGGCGGCUUGUCGCGUCUGCUGUGAAAGCCCGGGGCUCAACCCCGGGUCUGCAGUGGGUACGGGCAGGCUGGAGUGCAGUAGGGGAGACUGGAAUUCCUGGUGUAGCGGUGAAAUGCGCAGAUAUCAGGAGGAACACCGAUGGCGAAGGCAGGUCUCUGGGCUGUAACUGACGCUGAGGAGCGAAAGCAUGGGGAGCGAACAGG
rnacentral:rRNA from 1 species